GACAGAGGGUGCAAACGUUGUUCGGAAUUACUGGGCGUAAAGCGCGUGUAGGCGGCUUGGCAAGUCGGGUGUGAAAGCCCUGGGCUUAACCUAGGAAGUGCACUCGAAACUGCCUGGCUUGAGUUCUGGAGAGGAAGGCGGAAUUCUCGGUGUAGAGGUGAAAUUCGUAGAUAUCGAGAGGAACACCGGUGGCGAAGGCGGCCUUCUGGACAGCAACUGACGCUGAGACGCGAAAGCGUGGGGAGCAAACAGG
rnacentral:rRNA from 1 species